GCUGGGAGUGGUGGUGUGCACCUGUAAUCCCAGCUACUCAGGAGGCUGAGGCAGGAGAAUUGCUUGAAUCCGGGAGACGGAAGUUGCAGUGAGCCGAGAUUGCGCCACUGCACUCCAGCCUGGGUGACAGAGCGAGACCCUGCCUCAA
ensembl:misc_RNA Metazoa_SRP Metazoan signal recognition particle RNA